rnacentral:rRNA from 1 species
UACAGAGGGGGCAAGCGUUGUUCGGAAUUACUGGGCGUAAAGGGCGCGUAGGCGGCCUUCUAAGUCGAACGUGAAAUCCCCGGGCUCAACCCGGGACUGCGUCCGAUACUGGAAGGCUUGAAUCCGGGAGAGGGAUGUGGAAUUCCAGGUGUAGCGGUGAAAUGCGUAGAUAUCUGGAGGAACACCGGUGGCGAAGGCGACACCUGGACCCGGUAUUGACGCUGAGGCGCGAAAGCCAGGG